ACCAUGAUGUGUAGCUGGACUGAGAGGUUGAACAGCCACAUUGGGACUGAGACACGGCCCAAACUCCUACGGGAGGCAGCAGUAGGGAAUUUUCGGCAAUGGAGGAAACUCUGACCGAGCAACGCCGCGUGAACGAUGAAGUAUUUCGGUAUGUAAAGUUCUUUUAUUGAAGAAGAAAAAAUAGUGGAAAAACUAUCUUGACGAUAUUCAAUGAAUAAGCCCCGGCAAACUAUGUGCCAGCAGCCGCGGUAAUACAUAGGGGGCGAGCGUUAUCCGGAAUUAUCGGGCGUAAAGGGUGCGUAGGCGGUUUAAUAAGUCUAUAGUUUAAUUUCAGUGCUUAACACUGUCCUGCUAUAGAAACUAUUAGAUUAGAGUGAGAUAGAGGCAAGUGGAAUUCCAUGUGUAGCGGUAAAAUGCGUAAAUAUAUGGAGGAACACCAGAGGCGUAGGCGGCUUGCUGGGUCUUUACUGACGCUGAGGCACGAAAGUGUGGGGAGCAAACAGGAUUAGAUACCCUGGUAGUCCACGCCGUAAACGAUGAGUACUAAGUGUCGGGAUUACUCGGUACUGAAGUUAACACAUUAAGUACUCCGCCUGAGUAGUACGUACGCAAGUAUGAAACUUAAAGGAAUUGACGGGACUCCGCACAAGCGGUGGAUCAUGUUGUUUAAUUCGAAGAUACACGAAAAACCUUACCAGGUCUUGACAUACUCUGCAAAGCUAUAGCAAUAUAGUGGAGGUUAUCAGGGAUACAGGUGGUGCAUGGUUUGUCGUCAGCUCGUGUCGUGAGAUGUUAGGUUA
rnacentral:rRNA from 1 species